AUUGAACGCUGGCGGCAGGCCUAACACAUGCAAGUCGAACGAGUGGCGGACGGGUGAGUAAUGUCUGGGAAACUGCCUGAUGGAGGGGGAUAACUCCUGGAAACGGUAGCUAAUACCGCAUACCAUCGGAUGUGCCCAGAUGGGAUUCGCUAGUAGGUGGGGUAAAGGCUCACCUAGGCGACGAUCCCUAGCUGGUCUGAGAGGAUGACCAGCCACACUGGAACGGAGACACGGUCCAGACUCCGACGGGAGGCAGAAGUGGGGAAUAUGGCACAAUGGGCGCAAGCCUGAGGCAGCCAUGCAGCGUGUAUGAAGAAGGCCUUCGGGUUGUAAAGUACUGUCAGCGGGGAGGCGUUACCCGCAGAAGAAGCACCGGCUAACUCCGUGCCAGCAGCCGCGGUAAUAC
rnacentral:rRNA from 1 species